rnacentral:lncRNA from 1 species
AACUUAAAAUAGUGUGCCAUGUAGCAGAGCUGUUUGUGCUCAGCAUCUUGAAUCUUUGGAACUGACUUAUCUUCCCUUGAGGUUUGUUAGCCUGAGGAAAUUCAGAGCAUUCAAUUAAUGAUCUAGCUUUUUCAGUGAAACUGAAAACGAUCUUUCCCAAGAAGAAUUGGCAUUAACGAAUUCCCUUAUGGAAAAGUGACAGGCAAAGUAAGCCCAACCAUACAAGGCCUUGUUGAUUUGUGUUAACAUAACUUAAACAUUAAAAAGCCCUGGACAUUCUGGGACGUCUGCCUUCCAUAGGGAUACAUUAUUAAAUAAUGCUCUUUAAUGAUGAUUUAAUUGACAUGCUGAUUUAAGCUGAAAUGCCCUGUAAUGAAUGUUCACAAACACUGUGGUUGUCUGAUUAUGUGGCUUUUUAAGAAGGACUAAUAAAUAUUUUAGUAAGUGCUGUAUAAUCUAACUUCUUGAAUUACCUCUGCAUUGGUCCUUUAAUCUGUUUUUUUUUUUUUUUUUACAAAUUAAUAAGAUUGCAGAAGAUGGUGACCACAACAUUCAAGUUCAUCUGUAGCACCACAUCAAAGUUUAAUAAUUGGCUUGAUUUAAAUCAUCCCCCAUGGGCCUUCACACAAGCUUCCUGAACUCUUUGAGACGUCUCUGAACAAUUUCCCCCAGUCCCCGGUCCUGCCUGUAAUUUACCACUUAAAACGAUUGAAUGCAAAGAAACUGAUGGCAGCUGGGGUUGUUUUUGCUCUUUAAUAAAACUCAGAGCUGCUGAUUUUUGGACAAGAUUCUGUUUAUCUCAUCUCUCAUCUCUUGUUUCUGAUCCUGUAGGAGACCCUGCAUCAGCUGAUUAUGAUGCCUCCUCCCAGUGUGCUGCUGCUGGGCAGGAACCCGCUCUGUGAGGAAGGUCUAGAAGAGAUCAGGAUGUUGCUGCUUCUGUUGCUUGGCUGUGCUGUGCAGUGUGAAAGAAAAGAGGAGUAUAUCGAGAAGAUACAAAGUCUUGAUUUUGACACAAAAGCAGCAAUUGCAGCUCAUAUCCAAAAGGUGACUCAUUGUCAGGAGAAUGUGUUUGAUCUGCACUGGUUGGGGAUGGAGGGCCUGUGUCAAGAGGAAUGGGAAAAUCUCUGCAGAAAUAUGAGCAUUAAUCUCAAAAUGUUAGUGGACCAGCGAGACCGCCAAUUUGAGGUAUCUUCAGAAACGAUGAAGUCUGUAGUGUUUGGUGAUGACUCCUCCCUCACAGAGUCCACCAGCAGCCAGCUCCCUUUAUCCCAGCAGCACCUGGCACUAGAGCUGGCGGAUGCUAAAAACAUGCAGCUGUUAAUAGAUGCACGAGCAGCCAGGAUGUACCGUGACGAGCUGGAUGCGAUGAAAGAAAGAGCCAUCAGAGCAGACAAACUGGAGAGUGAAGUGGCUCGCUACCGAGAUAAACUUCAUAACAUGAACUUUUACAAAGUCAAACUGGAGGAGCUAAAGGAGGAUAAUCAGGUGUUGAUGGAAAGUAAGGCCAUGCUGGAGGAAGAGCUACAGGGUGUCAAAGCACGAUCUGAAAAACUGCACCAUCUGGAGAAACACAAACUCCUACUAGAAUCAAAACUUCAUGACAUAGAAGAGGAAAGAACUGUGGACAGGAGACGAAUAGAGGAGCUGCUAGAAAGGAACAUUAUACUGGAGCUCUCUCAGAAAAGGAGUAUGGAAGAAUCAAAGCAUUUGGGCUGGGAGCUAGAACUCGCCAAGAACCCUCAACAGAAUUCAGAGUCGAAAUCUUUGGGCCAAGAGGUAACUGAAGUGACAUGUAGCAGGUUGCUGAAACUGGAGAAAGAGAACCAGAGGUUGUUGAAGGCCCUGGAAGAACUUCAAGGAACCAGUCGUCCAUUGGAUGACAUCAUCUCUGAAUCUAAACAUAUUGAGGAAAAUGGGAGGAUGGACAUAGUGGACUAUAAGACUCACAAAUCUACUCCAGCAUUUGCCAACAUGCACAAUGGCCAAAUUAUCACACCGACUCUGAAGACCAGCAAUUAUCCCCUUGACCCAGAACAAUUGCAUACAUCCUUGGAAAAUACUAACAGCAAUCUUCAUUGUCUUGAAGUACAUGUCUACGAAUUGGAGACUGAGAAACAGAGGCCUCAAGUCAAUUUCAAUCAAAACCAGGGACGAGCAGACAUAAAAAACCAAGGUCUAGUGCAUGAGAAUGGAGAUUUGGAGCAAGAUAGGAGUUGUCUGGAGAAGGAGAAUCGGAGAUUGCGGCAGCAAGUGAAGAUCAAGGAGGUCUCGUUGGAUUGUAGUAACCUGAAGUUGGUGGUCCUUGAGAAGGAGAACCGUACCCUGGUUAAAAAGUCUAACUAUCUUAGUGAGGCCUGCACCAAGAACAAAGAGCUAGAGAAGGAAAACCAGGAGCUUAUUCAACAGACUGGAGUGGAUAAGAGGAUGCUGAUGACAUUACGAGAGGUUACCACUACAGAGAAGGAUUUGUUGAAAUUGCAACAGAAAGAAUCUGAUCUUGAAAAUUUGACUUAUGAACUAGAGAGGAUGAGGUUAAACCAGGAGUCACGAAUAGGAGAUCACGAGGCUGUAGACCAGGGGUACUGUAAGCAGCUGGAGUCAGAGCUGGAGUCUUCUCUAAUGAAAUCCCUGAAGAUUAAGAAAGAGAGAAUGGCUGCCCUCGAGGCCCGUCUGCAAGCAUCGGCAAAGAUAAACCAGCAACUAAGACAGGAUCUUAAAACUGUCAAACAGAACUAUGAGGCAUUGCUUCAGAGGGAUGAGGAGGAAAAGGCAGGACAAUGUUCUCCACCAGAGAGGACAUGGCACAGAGAGAGUCAGGAGGCCACGUGGGCAUUGCUCAGACUCAAAGAUCGACUCAUUGAGGUGGAGAGAAAUAAUGCAACUCUUCAGGCUGAGAAACAAGCAUUGCAAACACAACUGCAGACAUUGCAGACGCAGUCAGAUGGGUUGCAGGCACAAAUACUUGCGUUACAACAGCAGACGGCUUCCUUGCAGGAGAGCAACACAACACUGCAGACACACAAUGCACAAUUGCAGGUAGAGAAGUCCACUUUAUCUUCCCAGAAUUCCUCUCUGAUGGCUCAUAAUGCACAGCUACAGCGGGAACGGCAGAGUUCGGAGGCUGAGAGGGAGAGCGCGAUACGGGAGAGAGAAGAUCUCCACACCGUUAAUGAACUUCUUCUCCGGGACCACGAGAGACUGAGCGUUCUGCAUGAGAGACAGGCAGCAGAGUUGGAGGUGCUCUCUCACAGGUACUCAACAAUGGAGAACAGUCACCGAACCCUGGAGAUAGAGCACAGAUCACUAGAGGACAGAUAUAACACACUACUUCAGCAGCGCUCUGAGCUGGAGGGGCUAGAGAGAGCUCUCAGAGAAGAACAGCAGAAGAUGCAGAAUGAGAUAUGCACAAACAGUAACACAACAGCAGAGUGCCAAAGACUCAGAGAUGAGAAAGACUGGCUGAAUCAAACCUACCAGAGGCUGUUGGCAGAGAAUGAGGAACUUCAGGUUGAGCACAAGAGCAUAAAGAGCCAGUUGAACUCCUGCAAACUGGAACAAACGCUGCUAGAAUCAGAGCUGUCCAAACUCAAAGAGCAGAACCAGCAACUGGAAAUCACCAGCAUUAAACUGACAAACCAGUGUGAGUUGCUGACCCAGCUGAAGGGGAACUUGGAAGAGGAGAACCGACACUUGCUGGACCAGAUCCAGAGCCUGAUGCUGCAGAACCAAACCCUGCUAGAUCAGACCAUGGAGAGCAAGGACUUGUUCCAUGUGGAACAGAGACAAUAUAUAGACAAACUGAAUGAACUCAGAAGGCAGAAGGAAAAGCUGGAAGAGAAAAUCUUGGAUCAGUACAAGUUCUAUGACCCAUCACCUCCACGCAGACGGGGCAACUGGAUAACGCUGAAGAUGAGGAAGAUGAUGAAGACGAGGACUCGAGAUCAGGAGCAUGUUCGUUCCUCAACUCCCCAGCUCCGCUCCGGGUCAUGUGAGGGUCUGGAUGACCUGCGCAACCACGACAACGGCUCCUCUGUGGGUUCCCAGGGCUCUGAGGAAUCUGCUUCCAACUCCCUUAAUGGUGACACCGUGUCCCCUAAGAGGAGCAGCAGUGAGUAUAACCUCAGUUACAUGACUCUGUCACAGUCCAGCCAUUCCAGCCAGGAACAUCCAGAAACAAGCCACUCAAUCAGCAGCAAACCCUUCAUCCCAACAUCCCAAGGUCAGGAGAAGAACAGAACAAUUUGUGGCAGAUGGCUGACAUGGAGAAGCCAAGCAAAGGAUAGCUACCGUAGUAAAUCAUCCCACAAAUCACCUCUAGUGAUUAGAAAACUCCUCAAAUUCUGCUCUAGGCAAACCUGCCACAGAAAACUUAAAGAAGAGUUCAGUUCCUUUAAAUAAACUGUUAUUUGACCUAUGUUUCCUGAUUUAUGUGAAGUCUUUGAUUCCAUCAUCUUCUUUGGUCCUCCAUUCUUUUCCACACACAUAUUUCUCAUUUUUAAAGCAUCACAUCAUGAGUAAUCAAAAGUUCCUUGAGAUAAAAGAGCUCUAUGAAAACAUGCUGUACUUUAAUUUUCAGAACUCUGAUGUCAGAAACCUAAAACAUUGAAGGGAAAUUCCAUCUUCAUUUAUUCAUCCUCCUGUCAUUUCAAAACAGUAUGACUUUUUUUUCUUCUGUGGAACAUAAAUUAAGACGUUUUUCAUUCAAACAAAAGUUAAUUGGCUUUAAAGCAAAAGCAUGAAAUCAUAGAAUUUAUCAAAAUGUCUUAACUUUCCAAGUAGGUAGUACAAAAGAUGAGUGAUGUAUGUGUCUGUGAUUUUCAUGUUCUUUCCUUCAAGAGAAUCUCCUUCUUUCACAAUGUUUACAAACUUUCUUAUAGUAGUGUUUUUCCUCCCUCAUUUCCUGUCUUCAUGUUUUCCAUUGUGAUGAUCAAGUCUGCACCCUGAAAAUGUUUCAUGUUAAGCGUAACAAACCAAAGGAUAAAGACAAAGUCAAGUCUCUCUUCCGCCGAUCUCUGUGUAAGACUUCACAUCAUGCCCUUCCUGUAACUGCUGUGCCUUCCCCUUCACUGCUUUUUAUUUGAAUACAUGAUUAUUUAAAAAUAAGGUUAACGAGCAUCAUCUGAUUUUAGCAUUUUACAAGUAAAUGAAUGCCUUUUAUUCUUGAGAAGAGAAAAUGAUAAUGCAAGAUGAAUGCUUGAACUCCCUCAAGACAAAUGCUGCAUCGCCUUCCAGCUUCAUAAACCUCAUCUCAUGUCAUCUCCAUGUCUUGUCAUGUUCCAUCUCAGCCAUGAAUGACCUGCAGGGAUGUGAGGACUCUGGGCAGCAGCCAGAAGAGCAAAUAAUACAGCACACCAUUACCAUUUAAAAAAAAAAAAACACUCCACAUCACCAUCAUCAUUUCAAUAACUACUCUUCCAUAGACAAUACAUACAAUAAUCUGUAAUACAACAUGAAUGACCUGCAGGGAUGUGAGGACGUCUGGGCAGCAGCCAGAAGAGCAAAUAAUAACAGCACACCAUUACCAUUUAAAAAUAAAAAAAAAACAACUACCA